CUCGUAGGCGGCUCCGUAAGUCGAGGGUGAAAUACAACGGCUCAACCGUUGAAACGCCUCCGAAACUACGGAGCUUGAGGUCGGGAGAGGAAAGCGGAAUUCCUGGAGUAGCGGUGAAAUGCGUAGAUAUCAGGAGGAACACCAGUGGCGAAGGCGGCUUUCUGGACCGAACCUGACGCUGAGGAGCGAAAGCCAGGGGAGCAAACA
rnacentral:rRNA from 1 species